UACGAAGGGACCUAGCGUAGUUCGGAAUUACUGGGCUUAAAGAGUUCGUAGGUGGUUGAAAAAGUUGGUGGUGAAAUCCCAGAGCUUAACUCUGGAACUGCCAUCAAAACUUUUCAGCUAGAGUAUGAUAGAGGAAAGCAGAAUUUCUAGUGUAGAGGUGAAAUUCGUAGAUAUUAGAAAGAAUACCAAUUGCGAAGGCAGCUUUCUGGAUCAUAACUGACACUGAGGAACGAAAGCAUGGGUAGCGAAGAGGAUUAGAUACCCUCGUAGUCCAUGCCGUAAACGAUGUGUGUUAGACGUUGGAAAUUUAUUUUCAGUGUCGCAGUGAAAACGAUAAACACACCGCCUGGGGAGUACGACCGCAAGGUUAAAACUCAAAUGAAUUGACGGGGACCCGCACAAGUAGUGGAGCAUGUGGUUUAAUUCGAAGAUACGCGCAGAACCUUACCAACACUUGACAUGUUCGUCGCGACUUUAAGAGAUUAAAGUUUUCGGUUCGGCCGGACGAAACACAGGUGCUGCAUGGCUGUCGUCAGCUCGUGUCGUGAGAUGUUGGGUUAAGUCCCGCAACGAGCGCAACCCUCACUUUUAGUUGCCAUCAUUAAGUUGGGCACUCUGAAAGAACUGCCAGUGAUAAGCUGGAGGAAGGUGGGGAUGACGUCAAGUCCUCAUGGCCCUUACGUGUUGGGCUACACACGUGCUACAAUGGUAUAUACAACAGGAAGCAAGACGGCGACGUUAAGCAAAUCCUCAAAAGAUACCUCAGUUCGGAUUGCACUCUGCAACUCGAGUGCAUGAAGCUGGAAUUACUAGUAAUCGUGGAUCAGCGUGCCACGGUGAAUGCGUUCCCGGGUC
rnacentral:rRNA from 1 species